rnacentral:rRNA from 1 species
UACGUAGGGUGCGAGCGUUAAUCGGAAUUCCUGGGCGUAAAGCGUGCGCAGGCGGUCUGCUAAGACAGGUGUGAAAUCCCUGGGCUCAACCUAGGAAUUGCGCUUGUGACUGGCGGGCUAGAGUACGGUAGAGGGGGGUGGAAUUCCUGGUGUAGCAGUGAAAUGCGUAGAGAUCAGGAGGAACACCGAUGGCGAAGGCAGCCCCCUGGGCCUGUACUGACGCUCAGGCACGAAAGCGUGAGGAGCAAACAGG